AUUGGUACCAGCAUAGCGGG
rnacentral:misc_RNA from 1 species